AUAAUGUUAAAGAGAUUCCGAAAGUACUUGAAGACUAUGCGUGGAAGGUGCUCCCACGUCGAAUCCUGCCACAAUACACAGACUCUUGGUAUAUUCCACUUGUCAUUCUUGAUGAAGUGAUGAACAGCGGAACCUUUUGUCUUUUAUCUACAAUGAGAGCAAGGAAGGGUUCGUCAACGAUAAAUGAUAUUUCUGGGUCUGGCACACUGAUGCUAAGGGUGAUGACUGAGAAGGUAUUUACGGCCGUGGCUACAGUACCCAAUUCAUCGACAUUAAGUACAGCAUGUUGGAUGGCAUCUGUUACGCGAACAACUGGUGCAUUUAGAGCAAUGUAGGCUUUGGAACCUACCUCAAGAAGGGACUUUGUGAGGGAAACUCGUGACUUCAAGUGAAAUUUGGGCAUUUGCAGCUUCACAAUGUGCGUCAUGGAAUAUUCCAACUGAUCCAUAAU